CCACACCUAAAAAACUUUCCACGUGAACAGUUUCAACCCAAUAGUUGGGGGUCUUAUUUGGCGGCGGCUGCUGGCUUAAUUGUUGGCGGCUGCUGCUGAGUGAGCCCUAUCAAAAAAAAGGCGAACGUUUGGGCUUCGGCCUGAUUUAGUAGUCUUUUUUUCUUUUAAACCCAUUCCUUAAUACUGAAUAUACUGUGGGGACGAAAGUCUCUGCUUUUAACUAGAUAGCAACUUUCAGCAGUGGAUGUCUAGGCUCGCACAUCGAUGAAGAACGCUGCGAACUGCGAUACGUAAUGCGAAUUGCAGGAUUCAGUGAGUCAUCGAAAUUUUGAACGCAUAUUGCACUUCCGGGUUAGUCCUGGAAGUAUGCCUGUAUCAGUGUCCGUACAUUAAACUUGACUUUCUUCCUUCCGUGUAGUCGGUGGAGGAGAUGUCAGAUGUGAAGUGUCUUGCGAUUGGUCUUCGGACCGGCUGCGAGUCCUUUUAAAUGUACUAAACUGAACUUCUCUUUGCUCGAAAAGUGGUGGCGUUGCUGGUUGUGAAGGCUGCUAUUGUGGCAAAUUGGCGACUGGUUUGUCUGCUGCGGCGUUAAUGGAAGAGUGUUCGAUUCGUGGUAUGGUUGGCUUCGGCUGAACAAUGCACUUAUUGGACGUUUUUCCUGCUGUGGCGUGAUGGACUGGUGAACCAUAGCUCGGUGGCUUGGCUUUUGAAUUGGCUUUGCUGUUGCGAAGUAGGGUGGCAGCUUCGGUUGUCGAGGGUCGAUCCAUUUGGGAACUUAAUGUGUACUUCGGUAUGCAUCUCAA
rnacentral:rRNA from 1 species